rnacentral:misc_RNA from 1 species
AAAAAAUGGCAGGUGAAUCGACUUUGUUCAAGUUCUUGAGCCCAGGACGCCGUUUCCAAUCUACGGACAUCCAAGCCGCUGCCGGCUGGGGUAUCGCCGCCGCCACUACUGCUCUGUGGGUCGUUCAGCCAUUUGACUGGAUCAAGAAGACGUUCUUCGAGAAGCCAGAAGAGGCAUGAAUUGUUAUUUGUGAAGGCUCACCCCAGUUUUUGUUAAUAAGUAUCAGUUGAUUGCCGCAAAUGGGUAAACUGCAGAGUUCAUUGGAAUAACAUGUUUUGUAAUAGACUCUGUUUUGAUUAAAUUG